CCCGAAGGGUGAGUAAUACAUCGGAACGUGUCCGCUCGUGGGGGACAACCAGCCGAAAGGUUGGCUAAUACCGCAUGAGUUCUACGGAAGAAAGAGGGGGACCCGCAAGGGCCUCUCGCGAGCGGAGCGGCCGAUGACUGAUUAGCCUGUUGGUGAGGUAACGGCUCACCAAAGCAACGAUCAGUAGCUGGUCUGAGAGGACGACCAGCCACACUGGGACUGAGACACGGCCCAGACUCCUACGGAAGGCAGCAG
rnacentral:rRNA from 1 species